UAGAUGCAGAAAAAGCAUUUGAUAAAAUCCAACAUCCAUUCCUAAUAAAAACACUUGAGAGUAUAGGAAUAAAUGUGCUUUUCCUUACAAUAGUCAGUAGCAUCUAAUUAAAACCAUCAGUAAGUGUCAUAUGUAAUGGGGAUAAACUGGAACCAUCUGCAACAAGAUUAGGAGUGAAAAAGGUUGCCCACUAUCACUACUAUUCAAUAUUGUAUUAGAAAUGCUAGCUUUGGCAAUAAGAGUUGAGAAAGAGAUUAAAGGAAUUAGAAUAGGUAAUGAAGAAACUAAAUUAUCACUGUUUCUAGAUAAUAUGAUGGUAUAUUUAGAGAACCCCAGAGAUUCUACUAAAAAGCUAUUAGAAAUAAUCCACAACUUUAGCAAAGUUACAGGAUGCAAAAUAAAUCCACAUAAAUCAUCAGCAUUCUUAAAUAUCACUAACAAAAUCCAACAGCUAGAGAUACAAAGAGAAAUUCCAUUUAAAAUAACUGUCGAUAAUAUUAAAUAUUUGGGAAUCUAUCUGCCAAGGGAAAGUCAGGAAUUAUAUGAGCAAAAUUACAAAACAUUUUCCACACAAAUACAGUCAGAUCUAACCAAUUUGAAAAAUAUUAAGUGCUCUUGGAUAGAUCGAGCCAAUAUAAUAAAGAUGACAAUACUACCUAAACUAAUCUAUUUAUUUAGUGCUAAACCAAUCAGACUCCCAAAAAAACUAUUUUAAUGACCUAGAAAAAAAUAACAAAAUUCAUCUUGAAGAACAAAAGGUCAAGGCUUUCAAGGAAACUAAUUAAAAAAAAAUCAAAUGAGGGUGGCCUAGAUGUACCAGAUCUAAAACUAUAUUAUAAAGCAGCAAUCAUCCAAACCAUUUGGUAUUGGCUAAGAAAUACACUAAUUGUUCAGUGGAAUAGGUUAGGUUCACAGGACAAAAUAGUCAAUAAUUUUAAUAAUCUAGUGUUUGACAACCCCAAAGACCCCAGUUUUGGGGAUAAGAAUGCAUUAUUUGACAAAAAUUGCUGGGAAAAUUGGAAAUUAGUAUGGCAGAAACUAGGCAUUAACCUACACUUAACACCAUACAUCACAAGAUAAGAUCAAAGUGGGUUCAUGAGCUAGGAAUAAAGAAUGAGAUUAUAAAUAAAUUAGAAGAACAUAGGAUAGUUUACCUCUCAGAACUGUGGAGGAGCAAGGAAUUUGUGACCAAAGAAGAACUAGAAAUCAUUAUUGAUCACAAAACAGAAAAUUUUGAUUAUAUCAAGUUAAAAAGUUUUUGUAGAAACAACACUAAUGCAGACAAGAUUAGAAGGGAAGCAAUAAACUGGGGAAACAUUUUUACAGUUAAAGGUUCUGAUAAAGAUCUCAUUUCAAAAAUAUACAAAGAAUUGACUCUAAUUUAUAAGAAAUCAAGCCAUUCUCCAAUUGAUAAAUGGUCAAAGGAUAUGAACAGACAAUUCUCAGAUGAAGAAAUUGAAACUAUUUAUAGACAUAUGAAAAUAUGCUCCAAAUCAUUAUUAAUCAGAGAAAUUCAAAUUAAGACAACUCUGAGAUACCACUACACACCUCUCAGAUUGGCUAGGAUGACAGGAAAAGAUAAUGAUCAAUGUUGGAGGGGAUGUGGGAAAACUGGGACACUGAUACAUUGUUGGUGGAAUUGUGAAUGUAUCCAAUCAUUCUGGAGAACAAUUUGGAACUAUGCUCAAAAAGUUAUCAAACUGUGCAUACCCUUUGAUCCAGCAGUGUUACUACUGAGCUUAUAUCCCAAGGAACCUGUGUGUGCAAGAAUGUUUGUGGCAGCCCUCUUUCUGUGGCCAGAAACUGGAAAUUGAAUGGAUUCCCAUCAAUUGGAGAAUGGCUGAAUAAAUUGUGGUAUAUGAAUGUUAUGGAAUAUUAUUGUUCUGUAAGGACUAGCAGGAAGAUUUCCAGAAAGGCCUGGAGAGACUGUCAUGAACUGAUAUUGAAUGAAAUGAGCAGGACCAGGAGAUGAUUCACUUCAAGAACAAUAAUACUAUAUUAUGAUCACUUCUGAUGGACAUGGCUCUCUUCAAUAAUAAGAUGAGAACCAAAUCAGUUCCAAUUGCUCAAUAAUGAAGAGAACCAGCUACACCCAGCAAAAGAACUAUGGGAAAUGAGUGUGAACCACAGCAUAGCAUUUCCACUCCUUCUGUUUUUGUUUGCUUGUAUUUUUGUUUUCCUUCUCAAGUUAUUUUUACCUUAUUUCUAAGUCUGAUUUUUCUUGUGCAGCAAGCUAACUGUAUAAAUAUGUAUAUAUAUAUAUUGCAUUUAACAUAUAUGUUAAUAUAUUUAACAUGUAUUGGUCUAUCUGCCAUCUAGGGCAGAGCUAGGGCGAAGAAGGGGAAAAGUUGGAACAGAAGGUUUUGUAAAGGUCAAUGCUGAAUACAUUACCUAUGCAUAUGUCUUGUAAAUAAAAAAGAUAUAAUAAAAAAUAAAAAUAAAUAAAAUAAAAACCUGUCUACUCAUAUGCUCCACUUCUGUCAACUUUGUGUUGGCUCAGUUUUUCCUCCAAGUUAGCAGCAACUGUUCAUUCCCAGAGAAGUGCUCUAAUUUUUUGACAUUAAAUCUUCUGGUAGUCACCUUGCCUUGGGGCUACUGCUUUUAUCGAAUGAGAAUAUUUAGCUUAAAGAGAAUAAGUUUAUGACUGAUCUAUCAUUCUGCAUCAUCCAUUGCCUUCACUCUCAUAUCCUGUAUAUCUCUUCAUCUAACAAUGACAUAGUUUAUUAAAUGCCAAUGUUUGCUAACAGGGAAUAUCUAUGAUGUGCUUUUAGGUAAACAAUAGACAGUAUUGGUGAUAGGCCGGUCUUGAAACCACAAGACUUCAAAACUCAUCUUGCAGAUGAGGAAACUGAGGAAAACCAGGCUGAACAUGCUGAUCCUGAGCAGCUGGUGGAGCUUUGCUCCAGGGGCACAAAGGGCACUGUCGGAAGCCGAAGGCCCCCGCCCAGGUGCCUUUCUCAUGGCCCUAGCCCAGGUGCCUUUUCCCCACCCCUUGCUUCAACAGAAUCGAGCAGGUGGUCAAACAAUCCUGAGAACUGCAACCGGGCAAAACGGUCUUGAGAAUCAAUCUUGAGUUGUCACCACACUAUGUUCCUGCUCACUGGACCAGCUAUAGCCCAUGUUCCUUUCCCAGACCACCCUACUUCUCUUUCCCAUGCUUUUUCCUAUAUAAGUUGUAUCCUGAGAGCAAUAAACAGAGACCUUGGCAACAAUCAGCCUC